rnacentral:rRNA from 1 species
UACGGGGGGGGCAAGCGUUGUUCGGAAUUACUGGGCGUAAAGCGUGCGCAGGCGGUCUUUUAAGUCAGAUGUGAAAUCCCCGGGCUUAACCUGGGAACUGCGUUUGAAACUGGAAGGCUAGAGUGUGGCAGAGGGGGGUGGAAUUCCACGUGUAGCAGUGAAAUGCGUAGAGAUCCGGAAGAACACCGGUGGCGAAGGCGGCCCGCUGGGCAGUGGCUGACGCUGAGGCGCGACAGCGUGGGGAGCAAACAGG